rnacentral:rRNA from 1 species
CCUACGGGAGGCAGCAGUGGGGGAAUUGUUCGCAAUGGGCGCAAGCCUGACGACGCAACGCCGCGUGGAGGAUGAAGACCUUCGGGUCGUAAACUCCUUUCGAUCGAGACGAAUGUUUUCCGGGUGAACAAUCCGGAAAAGUGACGGUACCGAGAGAAGAAGCCCCGGCUAACUCUGUGCCAGCAGCCGCGGUAAUACAGGGGGGGCAAGCGUUGUUCGGAAUUACUGGGCGUAAAGGGCUUGUAGGUGGCCAACUAAGUCAGACGUGAAAUCCCUCAGCUUAACUGGGGAACUGCGUCUGAUACUGGAUGGCUUGAGUUUGGGGAGAGGGAUGCGGAAUUCCAGGGUGUAGCGGUGAAAUGCGUAGAUAUCUGGAGGAACACCGGUGGCGAAGGCGGCAUCCUGGACCAACACUGACACUGAGGAGCGAAAGCCAGGGGAGCAAACGGGGAUUAGGAUACCCCGGUAGUACCCUGGCCCUAAACGAUGAAUGCUUGGUGUAGGCGGGUAUCGAUCCCUGCCGUGCCGAGCUAACGCAUUAAGCAUUCCGCCUGGGGAGUCGGUCGCAAGGCUGAAACUUCAAAGGAUUGACGGCNGNGNGNGCGAGACGACGACGAGGGAGGAGG